rnacentral:tRNA from 1 species
GGGCGCGUAGCUCAGCUGGAAGAGCGUUGGUCUCCAAAACCAAAGGCCGCAGGUCCGAAUCCUGCCGCGCCUG